rnacentral:lncRNA from 10 species
CUCUGGCCCGAAUCGAUGUCCCACGUUAUCUGGCUCUCUGUAGUACAGAGUCACAAAGUCAAAGUCUUCUGUGCUGAAGCAGUUCAUGACGGUAUCGAUGUUCUCCCUCCGCUCUGUCUCGUUGCUGUUUGGUGUUUGUAGAGAUGAGAUCUCGCUAAUUUGCCCAGGCUUGUCCUGAACUCCUGGGCUCAAGUAAUUCUCCUGCCUCAGCCUCUCAAAGUGCUGGGAUUACAGACGUGAGAUACCGCGCCCGGCUGGUGGUGAGUUUUAAAAUUUUCCAGUGUCUCAGUGUUUCUACCUGUAGAAUGCCAAAAAGUAGAUGGCAUCUUUGCAAGGAUUAAGCCGACUAGCUUUUUUUUUUUUUUUUUUUUUUUUGAGACAGAAUUUCUCUCUUGUCACCCAGGCUGAAGUGCAGUGGCGUGAUCUUGGCUCACUGCAACCUCUGCCUCCUGAAUUUAAGUGAUUCUCCUGCCUCAGCCUCCCAAGUAGCUGGGAUUAAAAAGCCAGCUAGCUUUAAGAUACAGUGUUGGGCAUCACAUUUUGGCACGGAGCAGGCACUCUUUUCUUUGCCCCCACGUGGGACUAAGCCACCACAAGCCUUCCCUGGUGUGUGCAGUAGGUAAUGAAUGCUUGCCUGCUCAGCACCCACUACAUGCUGGGCUGGGUCACAUUACUCUGACUCCCCCUUGAGCUUCAGUCCAUGCCUGGUUCAAGAUGUAUUGACUCAACUCGAGGAUCCGGAGGUGGGAUGUGGCUCUGGCCUGGCCAGAGGACCGAGGAUGCUGCAUGCCAUGGCUACAGCAACCGGUUCAGCUUUGGGCUCAUGUCCUAGUCAGAGCCAAUGAGAUGUAAUCUUGGGAUAUCUGCUGGGCUGUUCGGAGGGGACAGGCUGCCCUGCUCAUCCCCAUUCCUGAUGCUGAGGGAUCUGAGAAAAUCACUUGUAAAAUUCGGGGCUGUUUGGAAGAAGGGGAGACUGAUGUCUCCUUCUCUCUACAGACAUCUGCUCAGCUACAGAGCUUGACUGACCUACCCAGAGGCAGAAUGAUAUGGUGGUUAAAAGUGUGCUAUGGGCCGAGAUCUUGCCAUUGCACUCCAGCCUGGGUGACAGAGUGUGACUCCGUCUCAAAAAAAAAAAAAGUGUGCUCUGGGCUGGGCGCGGGGGCUUACGACUGUAAUCCCAGCACUUUGGGAGGCUGAGGCAGGAGGAUCGCUUGAAGUCAGGAGUUUGGGAUCAGACCCUAUAUCUAGAAAAAUGUUUUUAAACAAUUAGCUGGGUUGGUGGUGAAUGCCUGUAGUCCCAGCUACUCGGGAGGCUGAGGCAGGAAGAUUGCUGGAUCCCGGGAGUUCAAGGCUGCAGUGAGCUAUGAUCAGGCCACUGCACUCCAGUUUGAGGGACAGAGAGAGACCGCAUCUCCCUAAAGAACAAAAAUGUGUGCUCUGGUGCCGCACUGCCUGGUUAGAUCCUUUGUCCACCACUUAGAUGCAUGUUAUAUAAAUGCUCUCCUCAGUUUCCUCGUCUGUAACUUGGGGACGAUAGUGCUGCCCCAUGAAGUGGUUGUGGGGGCUAAAUGCACGUGGGCACAUUGGUAAGCAUUCAACAAGCUUGAUUUUUCCUGGAGAGGGAGAAAGAGCAUACAGUGAAGUGGCAUGGUCAGGUGCAUUGGGGUAAAGAUUAUUUCCUCUGGCUUCUGCCUCCUGGGAGGUACUAAGGAUGGAUGUGAAAUGUGUCUGCAGACCCCAGAGUUGGGGACUGCAGACAGAAAUUGAGAUCAGGGCCCCAGUCUGGCAGAAAUGGGUGCAGCAUGGGGCAUUGGGUUCCUUCCAUCAAAGGCAUGGGGUGUGUUGCAGACAGUCAUGAGAUGUGGCUGAAUCUUGCAAGGGAGCCGCGGUCCUAGGGUUGCUGCUUGAGACAAAGACUGCUGUCAGUGGAACCUGGUGACCUUCACCCUUCUGUGUCAGGCUGCAGACAGCAAGAGAUGGCAGCAGAUUACACCCAACAGGAAAAGGGCCAUUGCCAUCCCACAGGUUGCCAUAGGAGGAGAUGACAUCUCUCCCUCUCCUCCUCCAGCAGUGUCAGCUGGGGAAGAGGUGGGUGGGUUUGCACAAAAGAGUAGACCACAGACCAUGCUCCUUCUCCUCCAGUCUGCUGGGGCCCCAAGAGAGUCUGCAGCCCUUGGCCAGGGACCAGCUGACACAGGAGAACAAAAGACCUUAGGUUGGGAUAACAUGGUGGUGCAGUUCAUCCUCUGGAGCUCCCUGUGAGAUCAGACUGGAGCUGGUGUCCAGCUGAGACCACAUCUCACUCAGAUCCUUCCCUGCCAUAUCCUGUUUCCCUUACUCCUAUCUCCUGAGAGUUCUUCCUGAAUGAAUUACAUGCAUUUAAUCCCUGCCUCAGGCUCUGCUUUUAGGGAACUUGACGUAAGACAGAAAUCUUAGUACUAAAUACUUUGCAAGGCCUCAGAAGCUCUGCUAUCCACAAGCGAGAUAUUACCUUCCUACCACCUGGCAGUCAUAGUCUAUGAUGAGAUUCAGCUUUAUGGAAGUGCUUCUCUAAAGAACUUCCCCCAAUUUAAGACGAUCUAAAUUUGCUUACUUGUUUACUAUCCAUUUAGCUGCUCUAAAAUAUGAGCUCCAAAUCAGGGGCCAUGUCUGGUUGGUUACUCAUUUCCUGAGACCUAGAACGGGCCUAGCUCAGAGCAGGUGCUCACUAUUGAUGGAAUGCAUGCUGAAAGAAUGCGUGAAUCUCAUCUCUUUUUGUGGGUGAAAAACUCAUCCUAUUCUCACCCUGAUUAACUUUCUU